rnacentral:rRNA from 1 species
CUUGGUCAUUUAGAGGAAGUAAAAGUCGUACAGGUCUCCGAUGGUGAACCAGCGGAGGGAUCAUUACCGAGUUUACAACUCCCAAACCCCUGUGAACAUACCUUAAUGUUGCCUCGGCGGAUCAGCCCGCGCCCCGUAAAACGGGACGGCCCGCCAGAGGACCCAAACUCUAAUGUUUCUUAUUGUAACUUCUGAGUAAAACAAACAAAUAAAUCAAAACUUUCAACAACGGAUCUCUUGGUUCUGGCAUCGAUGAAGAACGCAGCAAAUGCGAUAAGUAAUGUGAAUUGCAGAAUUCAGUGAAUCAUCGAAUCUUUGAACGCACAUUGCGCCCGCUGGUAUUCCGGCGGGCAUGCCUGUUCGAGCGUCAUUUCAACCCUCAAGCCCCCGGGUUUGGUGUUGGGGAUCGGCUCUGCCCUUCUGGGCGGYGCCGCCCCCGAAAUACAUUGGCGGUCUCGCUGCAGCCUCCAUUGCGUAGUAGCUAACACCUCGCAACUGGAACGCGGCGCGGCCAUGCCGUAAAACCCCAACUUCUGAAUGUUGACCUCGGAUCAGGUAGGAAUACCCGCUGAACUUAAGCAUAUCAAUA